UUCAUUGGCGUGUGAGUGCGUGCUGCGUUUUGGAAGUGGGUCUCUGCUCCUGUCGUAGUUGUGUAUUUGCCUGUUGGUGCCCUGUGCUGUGGUGGGACGUCAGAGUCAGUUUGUGUGUCGCGGGAAAUGGUUAUUGGGGAGGUAGGUCGCUUCGGUGGCUGUUAUAUCCUGGUAACUAGUGGUCGUGGCUGAGACUGAGGUGCCUACAACGUGCUUUCGAGUGUGUGGUUUUCUCGUGUGGCUGUUUGCUUUGAUAGCUUGCUAUGUUGGUGAAUAAGUCGUGCGAUUGAGAGCUGUAUUAACUUGUUGCCGUUCGGGACUUUGACGAAAUGGAGCGAUCCGACCCGUCUUGAAACACGGACCAAGGAGUCUAACAUGUGUGCAAGUGUUAGGGUGUGGAAACCCCAGCGCGGAAUGAAAGUGAAGGAUAGCUUUUGCUGUCUGAGGUAGGAAACCUUUGUUUACAGGGGUGGCACUAUCGACCGAUCAUGAACCUUCGUGGUGAAAGAUUUGAGUUUGAGCACAUAUGUUGGUACCCGAAAGAUGGUGAACUAUG
rnacentral:rRNA from 1 species